rnacentral:rRNA from 1 species
UACGACUACAUAUCAGGCAUAUCAAUAAGCGGAGGAAAAGAAACUAACUAGGAUUCCCUCAGUAACGGCGAGUGGAGCGGGAAGAGCUCAAAUUUGAAAUCUUCAAGGUUUUACCUUGACGAAUUGUAGUUUAAAGAAGUGUUUUCUGUUGGAAUUUUGGUAAAAGUUCUUUGGAAAAAGACAUCCAAAGAGGGUGAGAAUCCCGUAUUUGACCAUUAUUUCCAGCUUUGUGAUACACUUUCAAAGAGUCGGAUUGUUUGGGAAUGCAGUCCAAAAUGGGUGGUAAAUUUCAUCUAAAGCUAAAUAUUGGCGAGAGACCGAUAGCGAACAAGUACCGUGAGGGAAAGAUGAAAAGAACUUUGAAAAGAGAGUUAAACAGUACGUGAAAUUGUCAAAAGGGAAGCGUUUGACACCAGUGUUGUUUUCUCGAAAAUCAAUUAAAAAUAAAUUUGAUUUUGUGUUGUAUUGACCUUAAAAGCUUUCUUCACUUUUUUCAUGUUUAUUUUUAAUGCACUUUUCGUUUAACAAGUCAACAUCAGUUUCUUUUGUUGUAAAAAGGUCAUUGGAAGGUGGCUUUCACUUCGGUGAAAGUGUUUAUAGCCUUUGGCUUCUGCAAUCGGAGAGAUUGAGGUCUGCAGCGUAGAUCCUUCGGGGUUAGAUACGUAGAUGCUAAGUUAUAGUUUUUCAUAGACAACUUGUUGACUAUGAUUAAUCAUGUAGCUUACUCGUUUGCGCUAUUUUACCUACGCUUAGGAUGUUGACGCGCGUGUGUGCGUG